GUGCGGGUACCGUAGUGGUCAGCGUAUUCACUAAGCGUUUUUUCAGCGUUGCUUUUCCAGCGUUUAGCGAGAGUCCCGGGUUCGAAUCCCGGCCCGCCCA
rnacentral:tRNA from 1 species